UCUGGGGUGGCUCAGUGGUAGAGCGCUCCCCUAGCACAGGAGGGGCCCCGUUCGAUCCUUAGCACCACAUAA
rnacentral:tRNA from 1 species